UUUUUAUUUAUUUGUUUGUUUGUUUGUUUGUUUGUUUGUUUUUAGUGUUGAAGCGGACACCUCUUGGAGUACGUGGCCUAUUCCAGAGACGUGCUGUUUCUUCACGAACCUCCAAUUUGAUGCUCAUCAGCCAGGGAAGAAUUGGAUGUUUCAAAUAAGAUGAAAGGGAAGACAACAUCGACCUCGGAUGUUCCCAGUCAUUAAGAGGGGAGGAAGAGAAGUUUAGGUUUCCCAAUUUGGAUGCCUUCUCAAAACAACAGAAAGGAUUAGAAAUUCUCAGGGGGCGCCUGGGUGACUCAGUCGGUUAAGCGUCUGACUCUUAAUUGUGGCUCAGCUCGUGAUCUCGCGGUUGUGGGACCAAGCCCCGUGUCGGACUCUGCACGGAGUGUGGAGCCUGCUUGGGAUUUUCUCUCUCUCCCUCUCUCUGC